UACGUAACCUUACGUUGACGGAGGGUAACAUCGAGAAAUUGGUACUAAUACCCCAUAACAUCACCGGAGGCAUCUUCGGUGGUUGAAAACUCAGGUGGUCAGAGAUGGACAUGCGUUGUAUUAGCUAGUUGGUGAGGUAACGGCUCACCAAGGCGACGAUACAUAGGGGGACUGAGAGGUCAACCCCCCACAUUGGUACUGAGACACGGACCAAACUCCUACGGGAGGCAGCAG
rnacentral:rRNA from 1 species